GCCGUGAUGGCCUAGUGGUAGGGCACUACCUUUCACAUGUCAGUGAAAGCUAAGGCUACAUGUGUAGGGGAGAAGACCCAUGGUUCGAUUCCUGGUCACGGCA